rnacentral:SRP_RNA from 1 species
UGUGCGGGUAGGGCUGGGAGCUCGCCGCCUCCCCUCGCCGAAGGCGUAAAGCGGGGCCAGUAACCUGUACCACCCGGAGACCCCCACCUCCAGAACUCCGCGUUAGCGGUGAAGCCCGCCCCGUGGGGUCGGCGGUGGCGGAGGUCCUCCUGGAGGGGAGGGCCUACCGCCUUUACGGAGGGAACCUGGCCAGGCCCGGAAGGGAGCAACCUAACCUUCGACGUCGACGUUCACGGGUCACCGGGUAGAGGACGGCGCGGAGAGGUCUGGGGGUGGGUUAGCUCCAGGUGGGAGGGGACCGCACA